ACAGCGUGGUCCAGUCAAAGCCCGCGCUCCAAUGAAAAUCUGAAUCUGUUCUGGUUAAUCCAGUGAAAACAGUUUAAUCUGAAAACCCAGACAGACGCUGCUGAGUCAUGCUGACGAAAGCGGCGCUGAGUCGGCAUUCACAGCCGAAACCAAACCCACUUCCUGUUUUCUAGGUUUCAGGGUGAAGCCGCUUCCUGUUUUCUAGGUUUCAGGGUGAAGCCGCUUCCUGUUUUCUAGGUUUCAGGGUGAAGCCGCUUCCUGUUUUCUAGGUUUCAGGGUGAAGCCGCUUCCUGUUUUCAGUCUCACCACUGACCCACACGUGAAAACACACUGAAAAACAAACCGUCACAUUAAUGCCGUCAUACCUUCGGUUAUGAUGGCAGCAACAAAUGAAAAUGUUUCACGGUAAAACGAGGUCAGAGGUCAGAUUCCUGGCUCUCGUGUUCACAUGAAAACAAACCUUUAAAAGUUUUUUUACAGUCAUUAUUACUAUGAAUUCAGCUGCAUAUUUGUGGCAUGUUGUUCUAAACCUCAGCAGCUCUGCAGAGUGAUUAGAUAAUAGCUGUAAUACAUGACAGAUGCGUCCUCAGGGGAGCGUGACAUCACUUCCUGUCAGUUCACAGCAAACAGCUGCUGAGGACCAGAAAGUUCAUAAAUGGAUCUUUAUUUGCUUUAAAAGUCAUAUUUAGAUCCAACUCGUGUGUUUAAAUCAUUUAAAUCAUUUGAUCAUUUAAAUAAAUGUUCAAAUCGGAAUAAAAUUUCAUUAAACUGCAUUAAAUUUACUAGUAUGAAUGAAAUCGUUAUGUUUUAAAUUUGGUCUGAACUCUGAAUCAGCGACUAAUAACAUCUCACAGAUAACAGGUCCUAGUCAAAUCACAGCGUUUUUUUAGCUCUGGUUUCUGACCAAACAGCCAUUAUUUAAUUUCCCCUUUUUUUUAAAAUAACAUUUUCCUGACAAACGAACUGAUUCUAAAUACAUAAAGAUGAUUUUUGUGGCUGUAGAAAUAAUUUGAGUUUUUGGUUUAAAAUAAUCAAAACUGAAAAGAAAAAUGGAAAUAUUUUUAAACUGAUUAGUUUUGUUUGGAGGGAAGCAGCUGCGGUGCUGUUAGCCUCCUAGCUAAGCGGCUAACCGGAUCGUUCCUCUGAGCCGCCAUGAUGAAAAUAAUUUAUCACCAAUGAACGGCAACAGUUUGUGAUCAACAAGCCACUAAAUUAAUUUAUGUAAAGGUUUUCUAUGGGUUUUUUUUUAUUGACACAGAAGAGAACACUCUAACCCACAAGCUAAGCUAGCUGCUACUGCUAAAGCUGCUAGCAGCUAGCUUGGUCUCUGUUGACAUGUUGUGCAAACAAACACCAACACAAAUAUGCUACAAUAAUUAAUUCAAUGAAAAAAAAACUGAUAGAAAACAGAAAUAUAAAUAAGCGCUAUACUAGCAUCUUUAGCAUUAGCUCCCUAUUUUAGCUUGUGAUUCGUCAUGUUUCCGUCUCCUGAGCCAAUCACCAGCUGAGUUUCAGAUAAGAAGCUCAAACCAAA